rnacentral:rRNA from 1 species
AAAUUGAAGAGUUUGAUCAUGGCUCAGAUUGAACGCUGGCGGCAGGCCUAACACAUGCAAGUCGAACGGUAACAGGAAGCAGCUUGCUGCUUCGCUGAUGAGUGGCGGACGGGUGAGUAAUGUCUGGGAAACUGCCUGAUGGAGGGGGAUAACUACUGGAAACGGUAGCUAAUACCGCAUAAUGUCGCAAGACCAAAGAGGGGGACCUUCGGGCCUCUUGCCAUCGGAUGUGCCCAGAUGGGAUUAGCUUGUUGGUGGGGUAACGGCUCACC